UGAGUAAUGUCUGGGAAACUGCCUGAUGGAGGGGGAUAACUACUGGAAACGGUAGCUAAUACCGCAUAACGUCGCAAGACCAAAGAGGGGGACUUUCGGGCCUCUUGCCAUCAGAUGUGCCCAGAUGGGAUUAGCUAGUAGGUGGGGUAAUGGCUCACCUAGGCGACGAUCCCUAGCUGGUCUGAGAGGAUGACCAGCCACACUGGAACUGAGACACGGUCCAGACUCCUACGGGAGGCAGCAGUGGGGAAUAUUGCACAAUGGGCGCAAGCCUGAUGCAGCCAUGCCGCGUGUGUGAAGAAGGCCUUCGGGUUGUAAAGCACUUUCAGCGAGGAGGAAGGUGGUGAGCUUAAUACGCUCAUCAAUUGACGUUACUCGCAGAAGAAGCACCGGCUAACUCCGUGCCAGCAGCCGCGGUAAUACGGAGGGUGCAAGCGUUAAUCGGAAUUACUGGGCGUAAAGCGCACGCAGGCGGUUUGUUAAGUCAGAUGUGAAAUCCCCGGG
rnacentral:rRNA from 1 species